UGGUUUUUCCUUUUUCUGUCGAAU
rnacentral:piRNA from 1 species